rnacentral:rRNA from 1 species
GGCCUUUUGAUAAUAAUUUAAGGUCUGACCUGCCCUAUGAUUUAAGUAUUAAAUGGCCGCGGUACUUUGACCGUGCAAAGGUAGCAUAAUCAUUAGUUUUUUAAUUGAAAGCUUGUAUGAAAGGUUUGAUGAAAAAAAAACUGUCUUUGUUUAAAUUUUGUAGAAAUUUAUUUUUAAGUUAAAAAGCUUAAAUAUAUAUUAAAGACGAGAAGACCCUAUAGAGUUUUAUAUUUUUAUAAAAUUUAUUAUAUUUUAGAAUUUUUUAAUAUUUUUAUAAAUUUUAUUUAGUUGGGGUGAUUUAAAAAUUAAAUAAACUUUUUUACUUAUAUUUACAUUGAUUUAUGAAAAUUUGAUCUUUAUAAAAGAUUAAUAGAUAAAAUUACCUUAGGGAUAACAGCGUAAUUUUUUUUAGAGUUCUUAUCAAAAAAAAAGAUUGCGACCUCGAUGUUGGAUUAAAAUUAAUUAUUGGUGUAGAAGCUAAUAAAUUAGGUCUGUUCGACCUUUAAAAUUUUACAUGAUCUGAGUUUAAACCGGUGUAA